rnacentral:misc_RNA from 1 species
AAUUCUCAACUACAAAAGUUUUUCUUUUUGUAGCUUGGAUAUUGGAGGUCUUUGCAGGCUCGAAAAGGGUCAGCUCCUCUUAAAUGCAUUAGCAGAACUUUAAAAAAGGAUCGGCUUUGGUUUGAUAAUAUCUAUGCCAUCGCUGGAACAUUUAUAGUUCAGCUUAUAACCGUCUUAGGGACUGUCUUUUUUGAAAGGCAUCAUUUUAA